CCCUGGUUCCCAAACACUCGCCGCCGCCCCCUGGUUCCCAAACACUCGCCGCCGCCCCCUUUGCUGUUGGAUCCGCGGCCAUGGAGGAAUCCUUCACGGCCCCCUCCGUCGAUCCCCCCUCCGUCGACCUCCCCGCCGUCGAUCCCGCCUCCGUCGACUCCCCCGCCGUCGAUCCCGCCUCCGUCGACUCCCCCGCCGUCGAUCCCGCCUCCUUCCACCCCCCUGCAGUCGAUCCCGCCAGCGCCAACCCAUCCCGCUACCCCUCCUGGGUCCUCCUCGACAGCAGAGCCUACUUCGCCCGCCCCAUCAACGCCACCACCGUGAAGGCCACGACGAGCACGGGCCACAACUUCGAGGUCACCUUUUGUCUCGCCCGGCCGCCUGCCGUCUCCUACUUCUGCGUUCACUUUCCCGGAAUCAACGUACUAGAGUGUUGCAUCACGGAGCCCCGCGUCAUUUCCUCCGCCAAUGACCUCGCGCUCCUAUGCUUUCCCUUCAGAACUGGCACAUCGAGCACCUACGACUACUUCGUCUACAGGGCUGCCUCCAGCAAGCCCACCAUCAGAUCGGUCCCGUGUCCUCCUCCAACCUACAGGCACUCAUGGCACGCAGCCAUCGUAUCCCGCGAGGAUGGCAGUUUUUUGGUCGCCGAUCUUUCCCUGGGUCGGGACCUUGGGCACUACAACCUGCAUAUCUUCUCGUCGGUGACAGACGAGUGGAGCACCCAACAUGUGCAGCUGAAGGAGCAUCCCGGUAUCCUGCCAAAGCUAACUCACAAGGUGAUCUCUCUUGGAGAAGGAACAGUGGGAUGGGUCGACCUCUGGCGCGGCAUUGUUGUCUGUGAUGUGCUUCAGAAGGAUCCUGUUCUCCGCUUCAUCCCGCUGCCCAGGCCGCUGCCCAAGGCUGAUUAUGACGAGCCCCCGGAAAGCCAAGCAUUGGCCGAUUAUGACGCGCGGUCAGUGCGGGACGUCACCGGCUUCCCCAAUGGUUUCAUCGACUUCAUCGAGAUCGAACAUUGUUUCAAAUGGUCUAAGUUUAUCAACAUGAGGAGUUUCAAGACGACGGCCUAUCUUGAUUUCCUAGAUACCAUCAGUGAUAAUGACCUCCUUAGGUAUCAUGAAGAGGACAUUAUGGAGGAUAAAAUUAAGUGUGCACCUGAUGGCUGGAAGAUCCGAACAGGCUUUAGGAGCAUUUCUUGGAACCAUUGGAGAAAAGGGUACAAUUUCCAUGUUGAUGACAUAUCAGCCGAACCACAACUUGCUCUGCAGCUACUUCACCUGUGGGAUAGUAGAACUGAGAAAUGCAGAGUGAGAAACCUGAAGACUACACCAGGCUUCCCGACCUUCACCAUUUAUGGUCGUGCUAUUGUCCUCAUGUCUAAGGUGGGUGUCGACCAAGUCACAUGGAUGCUUGGUGUAGAUCUUUUGAAGAAGUCGCUGGAAGUCAUCAAGCCAUACCAUGCCUCGAGAGUCGAUUAUUACAAUCCGACCUUCAUUUCCUGUGAAUUCUCCAAAUAUCUGAAUACCGCUCCAAUUCAAAGGCUAUAUGAUGAGCAAGUUGCAGCAGAGUCUGCUCAGAAUGAGGAAGUUGCAGCAGAGUCUGCACAGAAUGGUGUGCCUAAUGAUCAACUUCCAUUGGGGGAUACUGUUCCAAACAAUGUGGUGAACCCUUGUACAGCAACCCCAGCAAUACAAGUGGAAUGGGGGUGUUCCCAUUAGGACUUCUAAUGAAUAUGGUUUUGGCGAACACCAAGACGACUAUCAGCAGCUACCCAGUCUGACACAAACUGGGCAGCACACGUCGUCUUCAACUUCAACUCAAUUAGUGCCAUCAAGUGAAAUGUGCAAGCUGACGAUGGUGCCCCCCUUUGAUGCCUCCAAGGCCAGUGCAGCUUGCACAACCCCUUCGCUCCAAGGUGACUGUUGAUGAAUGACUUUGACGGCUGUCCUCAACCAUGGCCAACAUCACCACAUGAAGCCAUUUUUUCAUCUCGUGCACCUGGCGAGCUGGUGGAAUAUCAUGGUUGAUGACCUGGAAUGUCAACAAAGUGUAUGCUCUAGCAUGUCGCUGAUGUGCUGACAUGUUCACAGACUCUACCACCAUCUGUUAUCAUAUCAUGGACGAUGCUUUAAAACAUUUGAAUACUUUAAUGUGUCUAUGGAGUUAUGGACCUUAUUAGCCUUUGUUGA